CGCUGGCGGCACGCCUAACACAUGCAAGUCGAACGAAGUAGCAAUACUUAGUGGCAGACGGGUGAGUAACAUGUGGGUAUCUACCCUUUGGCCUGGAAUAACACGAGGAAACUUGUGCUAAUACCGGAUAAGUCUUUACGGAGAAAGCUUUAUGCACCAUUGGAUGAGCCCGCACUUGAUUAGUUUGUUGGUGGGGUAAUGGCCUACCAAGACUGUGAUCAAUAGCUGAUUUGAGAGGAUGAUCAGCCACAUUGGGACUGAGACACGGCCCAAACUCCUACGGGAGGCAGCAGUGGGGAAUCUUGCACAAUGGAGGAAACUCUGAUGCAGCGAUGCCGCGUGAGUGAAGAAGGCCCUUGGGUUGUAAAGCUCUUUCGUCGGGGAAGAAAAUGACUGUACCCGAAUAAGAAGGUCCGGCUAACUUCGUGCCAGCAGCCGCGGUAAUACGAAGGGACCUAGCGUAGUUCGGAAUUACUGGGCUUAAAGAGUUCGUAGGUGGUUGAAAAAGUUGGUGGUGAAAUCCCAGAGCUUAACUCUGGAACUGCCAUCAAAACUUUUCAGCUAGAGUUUGAUAGAGGAAAGCAGAAUUUCUAGUGUAGAGGUGAAAUUCGUAGAUAUUAGAAAGAAUACCAAUUGCGAAGGCAGCUUUCUGGAUCAUUACUGACACUGAGGAACGAAAGCAUGGGUAGCGAAGAGGAUUAGAUACCCUCGUAGUCCAUGCCGUAAACGAUGUGUGUUAGACGUUGGAAAUUUAUUUUCAGUGUCGCAGCGAAAGCGAUAAACACACCGCCUGGGGAGUACGACC
rnacentral:rRNA from 1 species